GGGUUGUGAGGUUAAGCGACUAAGCGUACACGGUGGAUGCCCUGGCAGUCAGAGGCGAUGAAGGGCGUGCUAAUCUGCGAUAAGCGCCGGUAAGGUGAUAUGAACCGUUAUAACCGGCGAUACCCGAAUGGGGAAACCCAGUGUGACUCGUCACACUAUCAUUAACUGAAUCCAUAGGUUAAUGAGGCGAACCGGGGGAACUGAAACAUCUAAGUACCCCGAGGAAAAGAAAUCAACCGAGAUUCCCCCAGUAGCGGCGAGCGAACGGGGAGGAGCCCAGAGCCUGAAUCAGCAUGUGUGUUAGUGGAAGCGUCUGGAAAGGCGCGCGAUACAGGGUGACAGCCCCGUACACAAAAGCGCAUGUGCUGUGAGCUCGAUGAGUAGGGCGGGACACGUGGUAUCCUGUCUGAAUAUGGGGGGACCAUCCUCCAAGGCUAAAUACUCCUGACUGACCGAUAGUGAACCAGUACCGUGAGGGAAAGGCGAAAAGAACCCCGGCGAGGGGA
rnacentral:rRNA from 1 species